rnacentral:rRNA from 1 species
GACGAACGCUGGCGGCGUGCUUAACACAUGCAAGUCGAACGGUGAAGGGGUCUGCUUUUGUGGGCCCUGGAUGAGUGGCGAACGGGUGAGUAACACGUGAGUAACCUGCCCCCUUCUUCUGGAUAACCGCAUGAAAGUGUGGCUAAUACGGGAUAUUCUGGGUCUGUCGCAUGAUGGGUCUGGGAAAGAUUGCGCCUUUGGGUGUUUUUGGUGGGGGAUGGGCUCGCGGCCUAUCAGCUUGUUGGUGGGGUGAUGGCCUACCAAGGCGGUGACGGGUAGCCGGCCUGGGAGGGUGGACGGUCACACUGGGACUGAGACACGGCCCAGACUCCUACGGGAGGCAGCAGUGGGGAAUAUUGCACAAUGGGCGCAAGCCUGAUGCAGCGACGCCGCGUGAGGGAGGGAGGCCUUCGGGUUGUAAACCUCUUUCGCCAGUGAAGCAGGCCUGCUCCUUGUGGGUGGGUUGACGGUAGCUGGAGAAGAAGCGCCGGCUAACUACGUG